rnacentral:rRNA from 1 species
UACGUAGGGGGCAAGCGUUGUCCGGAUUUAUUGGGCGUAAAGAGCGUGUAGGCGGCUUUACAGGUCCGUUGUGAAAACUCGAGGCUCAACCUCGAGACGCCGGUGGAAACCGUAAGGCUAGAGUCCGGAAGAGGAGAGUGGAAUUCCUGGUGUAGCGGUGAAAUGCGCAGAUAUCAGGAGGAACACCGAUGGCGAAGGCAGCUCGCUGGGCUGUAACUGACGCUGAGGCACGAAAGUGUGGGGAUCAAACAGG